GGAGAAGUAAUGAUCAUAACAUUAUGAAUUGUAUUUAUUGGUGGAAUAGAGUCCAAUCAAGUUUUUGUCACUUCCUCACAGGAGAAUAUUAUGCGCUUGAAGAUUCCAUCGAUG
rnacentral:ribozyme from 1 species